rnacentral:lncRNA from 1 species
AGACAGAAUAAUCCUCCUUCCUAUCUUAAGGAUUAUGUCUGUCAACUUCCUGCAUUUUCUGGUUCCUCCUCAUCCACUUUGGAAUCUGAACCUAUGUACUACUCUCAAGCUGCAUCUGUCCCAGCAUGGCAGGAUGCAAUGAGACAAGAGUUAGCUGCUCUGGAUGCUAAUCACACUUGGGACAUUGUCCCUCUUCCUGUUGGUAAGAAACCUAUUGGGUGCAAGUGGGUCUACAAAAUCAAAUACAAAUCUGAUGGUCUUGUUGAAAGGUAUAAAGCAAGAUUGGUUAUUAGGGGUGACACACAGGUUGAGGGGAUUGAUUUUACAGACACCUUAACUCCAGUGAUUAAGAUGACCUAAAGAUUGGUUAUUAGGGGUGACACACAAGUUAAGGGGAUUGAUUUUACAGACACCUUUUCUCCAGUAAUUAAGAUGACGUCUGUCAAAUGCCUUAUUGCUGUGGCUGUCAAACAUCAUUGGCCUCUUUUUCAGCUUGAUGUCAAUAAUGCCUUUCUUCAUGGUGAUUUGGAUGAGG